rnacentral:rRNA from 1 species
GACGGAGGAUGCAAGUGUUAUCCGGAAUCACUGGGCGUAAAGCGUCUGUAGGUGGUUCGAAAAGUCCACUGUUAAAAAUUGAGGCUUAACUUCAAAGAUGCCGUGGAAACUUUCAAACUAGAGUAUGGUAGGGGUAGAGGGAAUUUCCAGUGGAGCGGUGAAAUGCGCAGAUAUCAGGAGGAACACCGAUGGCGAAGGCAGGUCUCUGGGCCGAUACUGACGCUGAGGAGCGAAAGCGUGGGGAGCGAACAGG